AAUGAACGUUGGCGGCGUGGAUUAGGCAUGCAAGUCGUACGAGAAUCGUAGCAAUACGAGGAAAGUGGCGGAAGGGAGAGGAUUACGUGGGAAUCUACCCUCAGAACUGGGAUAGCGGCGGGAAACUGCCGGUAAUACCAGAUAAUGUCUGUGGACCAAAGGUGUGAUUCCGUCUGGGGAUGAGCCCACGUCCUAUUAGCUAGUUGGCAGGGUAAUGGCCUACCAAGGCAAUGAGGGGUAGCGGGUGUGAGGGCAUGACCCGCCUAACUGGAACUGAGAACUGCCCAGGCACCUACGGGGGGCUGCAGUCGAGAAUCUUCGGCAAUGAGCGCAAGCUUGACCGGGCGACGCCGCGUGCGGGAUGAAGGCCUUCGGGUUGUAAACCGCUGUCGUAGGGGAGCAAGAGAUGAGGGUACUCCCUCUGAUUUGAGCGAUCCUAGGAGGAAGGACGGGCUAAGUUCGUGCCAGCAGCCGCAGUAA
rnacentral:rRNA from 1 species